UUUAUGAUUACCAUAAUAGUGACUAUACAAGUUAUCGUCUUUAAAUCAUCUAAUUUUUUAAGAAAUUUUCAUUCUUGAUGCGCCUCCGCUUGUAAUGAUAACUAAUUAUUGCUGGAAGAUACAGUUUGUGAUCCAUGAAAUCUGAUUCGUGUCUUAACUAUAUUUGCAUCAUUCGCAAACAAAAUAGAAAAUGGCGUUUUUGAGCUAGCUCUCCGACAUCUGAUUGGAAGAAAAAUCGUUUCCUCGUGAAAUAUUCAACACUCAAGUUAAAUCGAACUACCUGAAGGAAGCAGUAUUGGAAACCGCAAAUAUUCGUACUGGUGGUAAGUACUACGAUUUCGCACUAAAGGCACAAAGUUCGUAAUACUUUUUUGUAACAUGCCUAAUUUUUCAUUUUAUUGUUUCUUUUCUUUUUAUCAAAUUUCAGAUACUUUGCCGUUCACAAUCUUCCGGCUGGAGGUGAACUGGAAAGGCCGGGAAUUUGUUUGGUGUGAAUGUGUACAAUAUUAAGCGUACCAGUGCCGUUAUCCCCCAGCGGAGGUGGAAAAUAUCUCCGAGGGAAGAUUAACAUCCAACAUCAGUAUAAAAAGGUACAAAACUUUAAGAUGAAAGAACCUUCCGAAGAAAAGGAACUGUCUAGAAGUGUCUGGAUGUCUUCCCUGUACUUCAAUUUAUGGAUGGCAUUAUUAGACCUAGUAUUGAAGACUACCGCAGGUGAUUCAAAAUUAAUAGGAAGAAAAAAUCCCAAUGAACCCCUUCACCGUGCACAUGUCCAAAGGAGCCACAGUAGAAAACCGAUGGCAACGUCACAGGGUCCAGUUACGGUGGCAACGCACAGGAUCCAGUUCCGGUGGUUUGUUCCAGUGUCACGCGAAAGAUUGUUCCGGAUUUUCCCUAUGUAUUGAUGUGCUAACAUUCAAUCAGCAUCAUCCGGUUCUCGGCACUGGCUUGUUUCGAAGGCCAAAAAUAAUUACCUGCAGCUGGAGAGGAACAUAGUCGAUGGAAUGGCACAGGAAUCCAAAGACAGGUUUGAUUUUGUUCGGUGGGAACAGUAACUGGAUUCUGAAGCUGUACAAAUCGAAUACCACCAAGCUACCCUGUCCCUGCAAGCUUUGCCUUUGGCUCACCAUUCAUCCCAUGUACGUUGGAUAUACAGAAUACAUACACAGAUGGAUUUCGAAGGAGCAUCUUUUACAGCAAGCUCUUCAGUAGAAAUCUAGGACUUUCUUCGUAUUAAUGUAGGCCACACGAUUAAAUUUUAUGUAUGAAUUCGAGAAACAGGGUCGAUUUAUAUCAGGUGUGAUUUUUUUUAUUUUCAUAUUAGUAUUGAAAACAUAAGAAAUUUUCUAUUACCUUUCCAAGAAUCCUCAUUAUCAAUUUAAAUCGAACAGCAUAGAGCUAAUAUUUGUUAAAUGGCCUAAUAACAAUGAUGAUGAGAGCGACAGCGAUUUUCAUAUGUUUUCAUGACACAUACAGGCAAGGUGACGAAUGAUUUUAUGAUGGCUGGAUUUGGAUUUCAAUACUCAAAAAGUUCCCGUUUUGAUAUACUGGCGUGUCUUCGAACAACAAGAGUGCGAAUCAAUUUGAACAGCCAUUGAUGCUUAAAAGUGUCCAGUAACCCAAGUACAUUAACAUUAUUCUAAUAGAAAGACGAUUGCAACUCUAUUGGUUCGUUAGCCUACCCAUAGAAAAUGGACUCUUAUUGAGAUUCUUUUGUGGCAAGAAAAACAAUGAAUUUUUGUAAUUAACAACGUAAUGUCUUUUUAAUAUUUAUAUUAUAUUAUUUUAUAUUUAUAUUUAAUAUAUAGGUAAUGUUGCUGAAAAAAUAUUAGUGAUCUUUUAUAGAAAAAACAAAAUUUAAUUCAGUGUCGAGAUCAAUGUAUAAAUAAGAAUGUAUCAGUUGAAAAUGUUACUAUUGAAAUAAAAUUGAUAAAAACUAACAAAUUUUUAGUUUAAGAUGUGUUUAAUUUGUGAUUAAUUAUCAAUCAUAACCCGAAUCGUCCAACCUAGGUGGUUUUGUAUCUUUUUAUUAUUAUUCAGCGAUACGUUCGAUCAUCAACAUUUUCUAAAUGGAUCAUUAGGAAAAGAUUACACGUAUCAUAUAUCCCGGGUUGCGUCCGUUUUGAAAAAAGAAAAAAGCAAAAAAAAUGAAUGGUUACUCUACUUAACGACCCGUUCGCUGUAUCGUAAAGUGCGUCCAAACGAUUCCAUUCGAUGGAAAAAAGACUAGCUUAAUCGUACAUUAAUAAUCCCAAACUAUAAAGCUUAUCUUUCGUGUGUCUUGGG